CUUAUUUAUAAAAUAACUUAUAUUACUUAAAAAAUACUUUUACUUUUGUUUCGGUUAAUCCAAACUGGCUGUAUAUUAUAUUUUGCUCAUGAUUAGUGACUUUCCUUUCAAUCUGACCAACAAAGCUGAUGGUCACUGAGAGCUGACUAAUCAACUUCCUUUCCUCUGUGCCGAAGCAAUGGCCACGUCAUACAGCUCGCCGUCACUUUCCAUCCGAUCACCUCCGUCAACUCUACUACUUCAUAUUCCUCAGCGCUAUAAUCUUACCUCUAACUCUUCUUUUACCCGGUUGAAAAUGUCAAUUCCGUCAACCCCACAAACUACAGCAAUCCCUGACAAUAGCACAGUUUUAGGUUGUGGAAUGACCGCAGUGGAUUUCCUUGUUGCUGUUGAUUCUUAUCCUAAGCCUGACGAUAAGAUUUGAAGCACAAGUUUUCAGGUUGAAGGAGGUGGUAAUGCAGGGAAUGCUUUGACUUGUACAGCUCGUUUGGGUCUAUCUCCAAGAAUUAUAUCAAAGGUUGCAGAUGAUUCUCAAGGGAAAGCAAUACUGGAAGAGUUAGAAGCUGAUGGGGUUGAUACAUCGUUUAUGGUGGUUUCCGAAGGGGGCCAUUCAACAUUCUCUUACGUCAUUGUCGAUAGUCAAGCGUGAGUGCUCUCAGUUUUUGUUAACUGCUGUUUUGGUGAUUGUUUGUUGGCACAUAGAAUUUGUUUUUUCAGAGCCUUAACAUCAAUGCAGGAUGUGGAACUUUUUCUAGUUUGGCAGAAUCAAUAAAGAAAAAGUUCUGCUGGGGUUUGCUUUAUAUUUGGUUUCUGGAUAAGUAACAGUAUACCGUAUAUUGCUUACGCAAGAACCAAUAAAUGUUGUUUGUUGAGGAUUUGAGAUACAUGCCACUUGUAAGUUAGCCUGAAAAAGUAACAGAAAUUGUUAAGUCA